UAAGCAUAUCAAUAAGCGGAGGAAAAGAAACCAACCGGGAUUGCCUCAGUAACGGCGAGUGAAGCGGCAAAAGCUCAAAUUUGAAAUCCUUCGGGAGUUGUAAUUUGUAGAGGGGUGUCUUUGGGGCGGCAUUGUCUAUGUUCCUUGGAACAGGACGUCACAGAGGGUGAGAAUCCCGUGCGAUGAUGCCUCAACCAGUACAAGACCCUCUCGACGAGUCGAGUUGUUUGGGAAUGCAGCUCUAAGUGGGUGGUAAAUUCCAUCUAAAGCUAAAUACUGGCGAGAGACCGAUAGCGAACAAGUACAGUGAUGGAAAGAUGAAAAGCACUUUGAAAAGAGAGUGAAACAGUACGUGAAAUUGUUGAAAGGGAAGGGUAGGAGGUGAGGGGAAGAGCUGCUUAGGCGCGGGAGAUAAACAAGCAGGAAGCGCUUCGGUGCGGCCUGGUAAAUAUCCCGUGCUUGUGUGGUUCUUCCGUAAUCCCCUUCUACCGCCCGUCUUGAAACACGGACCAAGGAGUCUAACGUCUAUGCGAGUGUUUGGGUGUCAAACCCGUACGCGAAAUGAAAGUGAAAGAUUGCAGCCUCGGCGCACAAUCGACCGACCAUGAUUUAUCUACGGUUUGAGUGGAGCAUAGCUGUUGGGACCCGAAAGAUGGUGAACUAUACCUGAGCAGGGUGAAGCCAGAGGAAACUCUGGUGGAGGCUCGCAGCGGUUCUGACGUGCAAAUCGAUCGUCGAACUUGGGUAUAGGGGCGAAAGACUAAUCGAACCAUCUAGUAGCUGGUUCCUGCCGAA
rnacentral:rRNA from 1 species